AUAAUAAUUAAUAAUAAUUUUUUUCUUUAAUUAAUAGUUUGAUAACAAAAUAUUUUUAUUUAAAUUUGUCAACUAGUUAUGUAAAUGAGGUUAUUAUUUAAGUCGCUGGGUGGAGCUACAACUUACUUGUUCUUGUAAUCGCAGCUGUGUGUGUAGUGUUGGUUAUUGUGUUGUAGAUGAUUUGUAGUUUUAUGCUGUGGCUAUUUUUGCUAUUACUUUUAUGUUUACUUAAUCGAAGUUUGUAUUUAACAAGUUAUCAGUUCGUUAAAGUAAAUUCUCUCAGUUUUCCAUGGAUCCUUUUCAAAGUAUUAAUUACAUUUUGUGGUGGCUCCAGGAGACGGAGCUGGACAUCUCCAUUCGUAUCCGUACCAGGAGGAGAGAUGAUGAUACGGGGAACCGGGGUCAGACUUGUGACAGGUUCGUGGCCGGGGGCCGGGACAUGUCACACUUAUUAAUAUUUAUAGCAAAACAACAAAAAUAAUAGUCUUUUAAUGAAUGACAACAUAAUUUACAUUUUCCCAAAAACAACCAAGAUAGAAUAAUAGAAAAUCCAGAUAUUUAAAAACCAAUUUAUUUUUUAUGAUUUCAUCACAAGAAAUAAAUUGUGUUUGUGUUCAUGUGUCAACAGAUGUUGGUAUCAACUUCUAUAGUGCAUCACCUCCUCAUCAGAUGAUGAUAUGGAGACUUUGGAAUUCUCUAUCUUUUUCUGACAGAAUCCAGGUCAAUUUCAUUCCUAAAAUGGGCCAUUCAAGUAACUUGAAAUAUUGUUAAUUGAUUAUUGAUAUAACUUUGGCCUAUUGGAUCUUUCUUUUCCUAGAUGAAUGAAGAAUUGAAAUACAUCUGCAAUACUGAUGCUGAUAGCAAUC
rnacentral:lncRNA from 1 species